UGGGGAAUAUUGGACAAUGGGGGAAACCCUGAUCCAGCCAUGCCGCGUGUGUGAUGAAGGCCUUCGGGUUGUAAAGCACUUUCGCACGUGACGAUGAUGACGGUAACGUGAGAAGAAGCCCCGGCUAACUUCGUGCCAGCAGCCGCGGUAAUACGAAGGGGGCAAGCGUUGUUCGGAAUUACUGGGCGUAAAGGGCGCGUAGGCGGUGCACUAAGUCAGGCGUGAAAGCCCUGGGCUCAACCCGGGAAUUGCGCUUGAUACUGGUGCGCUUGAAUCCAGGAGAGGUUGGUGGAAUUCCCAGUGUAGAGGUGAAAUUCGUAGAGAUUGGGAAGAACACCGGUGGCGAAGGCGGCCAACUGGACUGGUAUUGACGCUGAGGCGCGAAAGCGUGGGGAGCAAACAGGAUUAGAUACCCCCGUAGUCC
rnacentral:rRNA from 1 species